AACUGAGCUGAAGGAAAACAAAGGAGAAAUAAAUAUUAAUUGAUACAGAACCGAAUCAGGAAAUAUGAACUUAUGAAACUAUUGAAACCUUCAAGAAUCUUAUGUUGUGUAAGAUAUUUAAGAAAAUAAUACUGAAACCGCACUCAUGAAUUUUUUUAUUUGACUAUUAUCUCCAAAAUAUGUUACUUUUUUAUGUUGAACACCAGACACAUCUCACCUCUUUCCACAGUUUUUCACUUAGUUCCACGACUGCAGUGGAUUUUAUAGUCAGUGUUUAAAGCAGCACUGACUCUGAAGUGAUGGAGGAAAUUUAUGUUAACAUGGAGCCUGUUGGACAAACUGCAUCUAAUCACACAGCUCAUGACAUGACAGCAGAUUUUUCUGACAUUAGUAACUUUCUGACUGAUCAGAACAGCGACAGCAAGUUUCCCUCCACGAACGCUAACUUCACUGAAACGACUCCAGGAGACGAAGAGACUUUAAGAACGAACAAACAUCAGUUGUUCCUGUUAAUUCAGG